CGGCCUCUCCGGACAGUGGCCUUGAUGGCGGUGGCCCAGGGGGGGAGGUGACCCACGUGGUGGUGGCCUCUGGAGGCAGUGACCCUCGUGGUGGUGGCCCUUGGUGGUCCAAGACAUCUACAGAUGGCCACCAUAAAUGUCAGCCAACUACUUUCCAUUGGGCUGCAUCACCGCAGAGUAGCAGCUGCUGGAGUACUAAUAGAACCUUAGGCUUCCUAUCAGGGGAGGAAAGGCAGAGUUUUUCUAACUGGUUUUCAGGCAAGAAUCUCCCAAAGUAGAAGAAGGGCCAUGUGCUCUCCGCACCAGUGGCUCAUGGCCCUGGCAUCCAGCACGAACUCUAGUUCCUUUUCAGUCAUUUCACAUUUUAUCCUUUCAAAAUGACUGAUACUUUCAUUCCCCCUUUUAAAUAGAAAUGGAAUUAGGUUUCAUUAAUCAGGUUUUCAAAUUAAACCAUUUCUCGUAUUUCACACUCAUUCUUGAAACAAUUUUCUUCAAACUUCAAUUCUUCAAACUUAAGCUUAGUGUUGGAAAAAAAAAAAACAAAAACCAAACCUAACACCACACAAAGGAGGCUGUUAUUGGAGCGGGAGCCACCAUGACCCUCUGGCCCGUCCAACUGCCCCCCAUAUCAUACUGGGGUGAGAAGCAGCUUCCUGUCCCAGAUCAAUCAAGUUCCUGGUACCUAGUUGCAUCAACGUGAGUGAAUUCAUCAGGAUAAUCAGAAGGAAACGCUAUUUGAGCAUUCUGAGAGACAUUAAGUCUUCUCUGGAGUAACAGAAUCUGCCAACUUUCUUUAAAAAAUUGAGAUAUGUUGGACAAACAACAUUGUGGGAUAACCAUCAGUUACAGGCCUCACAGAAGAACCCUCACCAGGAAAGACUCACCAGCUACAGACCCUCCUGUAAGAAGCCCAGCACCCCUACAGUUCAUCUGGUGAGAACCCUCAUCACCCUGAACCCCUACUAGUCUCCAGGGGACCUUCCUUCAAACAGCCCCUCCCAACCUCCUUCUUCUCCAAGAAAUAAUUUCUUCUCCUUUGUGUCUUGGACUUGCCUAUUGUUUUGUUGUAGCACACUUGUCUCUGAUUACAAUCUGUUAUUCCCAAAUAAACCCAUUUUGCUGGUAAAAUAACUGGAUGUUUUAUUACUAAUGUUAACAUAGCUAUCAAAAUUGUCCACUCUAAGUGCAUGUCAAUUGUGAAUAGAACAUAGCAAAAGGAGACAUUGGCUAUUUAUAAAUAUUAAUGUCAAGUUAAAUAUGUUCCAAGUCCAACCUAGGAUAGACAACUUAUGCUUCCUAGUACUUCAUGGGUUUCACUAUCUGCUAUUUUUGUGGGGGUGACACAGAAAAAUCACAGUGAGACCACUUUAGACUGCAUGUGUAGCAGAUCA